rnacentral:rRNA from 1 species
GAUGAACGCUGGCGGCGUGCCUAAUACAUGCAAGUCGAGCGAAUGGAUUAAGAGCUUGCUCUUAUGAAGUUAGCGGCGGACGGGUGAGUAACACGUGGGUAACCUGCCCAUAAGACUGGGAUAACUCCGGGAAACCGGGGCUAAUACCGGAUAACAUUUUGAACCGCAUGGUUCGAAAUUGAAAGGCGGCUUCGGCUGUCACUUAUGGAUGGACCCGCGUCGCAUUAGCUAGUUGGUGAGGUAACGGCUCACCAAGGCAACGAUGCGUAGCCGACCUGAGAGGGUGAUCGGCCACACUGGGACUGAGACACGGCCCAGACUCCUACGGGAGGCAGCAGUAGGGAAUCUUCCGCAAUGGACGAAAGUCUGACGGAGCAACGCCGCGUGAGUGAUGAAGGCAUUCGGGUCGUAAAACUCUGUUGUUAGGGAAGAACAAGUGCUAGUUGAAUAAGCUGGCACCUUGACGGUACCUAACCAGAAAGCCACGGCUAACUACGUGCCAGCCGCCGCCGCAG